AUUGCACGCUAGCUACAGGCUUAACACAUGCAAGUCGAGGGACCGGCGCCAGGGUGAGUAACGCGUAUCCAACCUUCCCAUUACUGUGGGCUAACCUUCCGAAAGGCAGACUAAUACCGCAUGGUUAUGGAUGGGGAUGCGUCUGAGUAGCUUGUUGGCGGGGUAACGGCACACCAAGGCGACGAUCAGUAGGGGUUCUGAGAGAAAGGUCCAUCACAAUGGAACUGAGACAAGGUCCAGACUAGUACGGGAAGCAGAAGUGAGGAAUAUUGGUAAAUGGGCGAGAGCCUGAACCAGCCAAGUAGCGUGGAGGAGGACUGCCUAUGGGGGGUAAACUGCUUUUGUAUGGGGUUAGGUACCAUACGAAUAAGGACCGGCUAAUUCCGUGCCAGCAGCCGCGGUAAUAC
rnacentral:rRNA from 1 species